rnacentral:rRNA from 1 species
AGAGUUUGAUCAUGGCUCAGAUUGAACGCUGGCGGCAGGCCUAACACAUGCAAGUCGAACGGUAACAGGAAGCAGCUUGCUGCUUCGCUGACGAGUGGCGGACGGGUGAGUAAUGUCUGGGAAGCUGCCUGAUGGAGGGGGAUAACUACUGGAAACGGUAGCUAAUACCGCAUAAUGUCGCAAGACCAAAGAGGGGGACCUUCGGGCCUCUUGCCAUCGGAUGUGCCCAGAUGGGAUUAGCUUGUUGGUGGGGUAACGGCUCACCAAGGCGACGAUCCCUAGCUGGUCUGAGAGGAUGACCAGCCACACUGGAACUGAGACACGGGCCAGACUCCUACGGGAGGCAGCAGUGGGGAAUAUUGCACAAUGGGCGCAAGCCUGAUGCAGCCAUGCCGCGUGUAUGAAGAAGGCCUUCGGGUUGUAAAGUACUUUCAGCGGGGAGGAAGGGAGUAAAGUUAAUACCUUUGCUCAUUGACGUUACCCGCAGAAGAAGCACCGGCUAACUCCGUGCCAUCAGCCGCGGUAAUACGGAGGGUGCAAGCGUUAAUCAGAAUUACUGGGCGUAAAGCGCACGCAGGGCGGUUUGUUAAGGCAGAUGUGAAAUCCCCGGGCUCAACCUGGGGAACUGCAUCUGAUACUGGCAAGCUUGAGUCUCGUAGAGGGGGGUAGAAUUCCAGGUGUAGCGGUGAAAUGCGUAGAGAUCUGGAGGAAUACCGGUGGGGAAGGCGGCCCCCUGGACGAAAGACUGACGCUCAAGUGCAAAGCGUGGGGGAGCAAACAGGAUUAGAUACCCCUGGAAU